UCUUGAGGCAUUUGCUUCUUGGCUACGGCUAAGGCAUAGGAUACCUGCAUCUACCCUUUCUUCACACCCUUUAGUGCUUGCAGCUCUUUCAAGCUUGAAUUCAGAAAUAUUGUCUGAGGCCUCCGUUAAUGUUAUUUCUGAAUUGAUACAUUACACAGCAGCAAGAAAUUCCGGCGGAGUUUCGUCAGAGUUGGCCUUGAUUCAAGUAAUUGUUCCUCAAGUUAUGAGUCUGAAACCUCAGCUCAGAGAUCCGUCAAAGGAUGAGGAGGAUAUUAAAGCCAUUGCUCGUUUGUUUUCUGACAUGGGCGAUGCAUAUGUUGAAUUGAUUGCUACUGGUUCUGAUGAAUCAAUGCUGAUUGUACAUGCAUUACUUGAAGUUGCUUCACAUCCUGAGUUCGAUAUUGCUUCCAUGACUUUUAACUUCUGGCACAAUCUUCAGAUGAUUUUGACAGAAAGGGAGUCAUAUCUUGCUUGCGGCAAUGAAACUUCCAUUGAGACAGAGAAAACUCGUAGAUUGCAGGUUUUCCGUUCAUCAUAUGAAUCACUUGUCUCCUUGGUUAUCUUCAGAGUCCAAUAUCCUCUGGAUUACUUUGAUAUCUCCAUGGAGGACCAGAGAGAUUUUAAGCAGACAAGAUAUGCUGUUGCAGAUGUCUUGAUUGAUGCAGCAUUGAUCUUAGGAGGUGAACCUACCUUGAAAAUUCUCUAUAUGAAACUAGUUGAGGGCAUCAGUCACUGUGGAAAAGAUCAGAAUUCUGAUUGGCGUCCUGCAGAGGCUGCCUUGUAUUGUAUAAAAGCUAUAUCAGAUUAUGUUUCUGAUAUUGAAGCCGAAGUGAUGCCGCAGAUUAUGUCUUUGCUUCCUAAGCUGCCUCAUCAACCCCAGCUACUUCAGACAGUCUGCUUAACAAUCGGAGCGUAUUCAAAGUGGCUUGAUGCUUCAUCAAAUGGAUUUUCACAUUUGCCCACACUCAUUGAUAUUCUUGUGAGAGGCAUGAGCACGUGUGAAGAUUCCGCAGCUGCAGCUGCUUUAGCUUUCAGACACAUAUGCAAUGAUUGCAAGAAGAAGCUUUGUGGGUCACUAGAUGGUCUGUUUCAAAUUUACCAAACGGCAGUCAUUGGGGAAGGUCCCUUCAAAGUUUCCGCGGAAGAUUCGUUGCAUCUGGUUGAAGCUUUAAGUAUGGUUAUUACAGAGCUUCCUUCAGAACAUGCUAAGAAGGCACUUGAGGCAGUAUGCCUGCCAUCUGUUGCUCAGUUACAAGAGAUGAUCAAUCAAGGUCCCCAAGUUUUGGGGCAAAAAAAUGCUCGGGAAUUAACUGUUCAUUUUGAUCGACUUGCAAAUAUAUUCAGAUAUGUAAAUCACCCAGAAGCGGUUGCAGAUGCAAUUCAAAAACUUUGGCCAAUAUUCAAAGCCAUUUUUGAUGUUCGUGCUUGGGACAUGCGGACGAUGGAGUCUCUUUGCCGGGCUUGUAAAAAUGCUGUACGAACUUCUAAGAGGCUCAUGGGGGUUACAAUUGGGGCGAUGCUGGAGGAAAUACAAGGACUAUAUGGACAACACCAUCAGCCGUGUUUUCUUUAUCUCUCUAGUGAAGUCAUUAAGAUAUUUGGUUCAGAUCCAUCCUGUGCAAAUUACUUGAAAGUUCUCAUUGAGUCUCUCUUUAGCCAUACAGCAUGUCUUCUUACAAAGAUUCAGGAUUUCACUUCCCGUCCGGAUAUAGCAGAUGAUUGUUUUUUGCUGGCAUCAAGAUGUAUCCGAUACUGUCCUCAACUAUUUUUUCCCUCUACUGUGUUUCCAUCAUUGGUGGAUUGUGCCAUGAUCGGCAUCACCGUGCAGCACAGGGAGGCUUGCAAUUCAAUAUUGAACUUUGUGUCUGAUAUAUUCGAUCUUUCGAACUCUACAAACGGGGAAAGUUGCCUAUCCAUAAGAGACAGUGUAAUUAUUCCUCGAGGGCCCACUAUCACCAGAAUUUUGGUUGCUUGUCUAACUGGAGCCCUUCCUAGUUCACGACUAGAAACAGUAACUUACGCUCUACUGGCAUUGACCCGGGCAUAUGGGUUGAAAGCUCUUGAGUGGGCAAAGGAUUGUGUGUCCUUAAUUCCAUCAACAGCUGUUACAGAAUUGGAAAGGACUAGGUUUUUACAAGCUUUGUCAGAUGCAGCCUCUGGAGCAAAUAUGAACGGUCUGGUAGUUCCGAUUGACGAGAUUUCAGAGGUUUGCCGACGUAAUCGAACUGUUCAGGAAAUAGUUCAAGGAGCUUUGAGGCCACUUGAUCUGAACAUAGUAGCUGUAUCAUAGUGGAGAGGGUGCAGAAGGACCUUUUUUUAACCUCUCCCUUCUUUGCAGACAGUAGUUUUUCAUGAUUCUUUGGAGGCCUUAUUUCAUCGUUUGUCCAUUGUGCGGCUUGGGAAUAUAUACUAGUUAUGCAGCAAAAGGGUGUUGUAUUGUUGUUACUUUUUCUACUUGUGGGAAGUGAUAGAGGAACUCAAAGCAGAUGCAGUUCACUUGGUUUGGCUUUUUCACUUUUGGUCCUUUUUCGAUUUGGGGGGUUUUUCUUUCGAAGGUGAGGAGUUUCCAGUUUUGAGGUUUAAUCCUGGAGUUCAAUGUAUAAGCUUCUUGUAUUUGGUAACAUCUUCCAGUUUAUAACUAUGUAUAGAAUGUGCAGUUUCUUUCAGUUCAAUAGAUAAUGAAUUCUCAG
rnacentral:misc_RNA from 1 species